AGAAUCUGAGCCUGUCUGUGAUGC
rnacentral:siRNA from 1 species